AAGGGUCCGCAGGUGGCCGUUCACGUCGAUGGUUAAAUCUCAGGGCUCAACCCUGAAACCGCCACCGAUACGGUUCGGCUCGAGCAUGGGAGAGGUACGCGGAAUUACCGGUGUAGUAGUAAAAUGCGUUAAUAUCGGUAAGAACACCAAAUGCGAAGGCAGCGUACUGGAACAUUGCUGACACUCAGGGACGAAAGCGUGGGGAGCGAAAGGGAUUAGAUACCCCUGUAGUCCACGCCCUAAACGAUGAAUGCUAGAUAUCGGGAGUAUCGACCCUCCCGGUGUCGGUUAAAAUAGUUAACACAUUAAGCAUUCCGCCUGGGGAGUACGGUCGCAAGACUAAAACUCAAAGGAAUAGACGGGGACCCGCACAAGCGGAGGAGCAUGUGGUUUAAUUCGACGGUAAGCGAGGAACCUCACCUAGGUUUGACAUGAAGCUGCAAGCCGCUAGAAACAGUGGCCGCCUUCGAGGGUGCUUCACAGGUGCUGCAUGGUUGCCGUCAGCUCGUGUCGUGAGAUGUACCGUUAAGUCGGGUAACGAGCGCAACCCCCGUCCCGUGUUGCUUUUUCACGGGAGACCGCCUCGGAUAACGGGGAGGAAGGUGGGGAUGACGUCAAAUCAGCAUGGCUCUUACACCUAGGGCUACACACGUGCUACAAUGGCCGGGACAAUGGGCUGCCAAGCCGUAAGGCGGAGCUAAUCCCAUCAAACCCGGCCCCAGUUCGGAUUGGGGGCUGCAAUUCGCCCCCAUGAAGCCGGAUUCGCUAGUAAACGCCUAUCAGCCACGGG
rnacentral:rRNA from 1 species